ensembl:snRNA
GUAUUGUAUGAAAAGAGAGAAGGUUAGCACUCCCUUGUAAUGAUGGAAGAGGCCCUCGAGCCUGACAACAUGCAUAUGUUAAGGCAUUGCCACCUACUUUUUAUCUUUUUUAAAGAGUUUUAU